UUGACUGUUCUAGGACAAUAUUUGACUAUGCUUCCCAUGGAGCCUAAACUUGGGAAGAUGCUCAUAUUAGGUGCUAUCUUCAAUUGCCUGGAUCCAAUAUUAACUGUUGUUGCUGGCCUUAGUGUUAGAGAUCCUUUCUUAACACCAAUGGAUAAGAAGGAACUUGCAGAGGCUGCUAAAUCUCAAUUUUCUAAUGAUUAUAGUGACCACCUUGCCCUUGUCC
rnacentral:misc_RNA from 1 species